UCAACUCACGAUACCGACCCUGACAUUUCUUCACAAGUUUAAUACUAUCUAGUUUCGGGAAGUGUCCACUACUGCAUACAACCUACUACCUUACUAAUAAGACAAGACCACGAACGAAACUGAACCCACAAGUCUCUUCAUUUUGAAACUUGAUUGCAGAAAUCACUUCGUUGUAUAACAUAGACUUCACUUUGAAAGAGAAACUAUGCCUCUACGCUCGUAGUUUGAUUGUAGGUAGAUUUCUAUUCUAACGGUUAUAUUUAGCUACUACGUACCGAGCCUUCAACCAACGUUUUAGUGCUUCCACCGAUGAUGAGCUAUCAAAAUCUAAUCCAAUAAUCUUACAGUAAGUCCAGUUACAAAGUUUGUAAUACAAAAUCUACCGACCGUACAACUAGCGUUCCAACUCUUAGUCUGAUGAUGAUCUAUCAAAGUGUAUGACAUUAGAAACAUAGUACGAGAAACAUUUCGUUGGCUC
rnacentral:rRNA from 1 species